rnacentral:rRNA from 1 species
UAUAGCUUGCUAUAAUUGUCAGCUAAGUGGCGCACGGGUGAGUAAUGUAUAGAUAACCUGCCCUUAAGAAAGGAAUAACAGUUGGAAACGACUGCUAAUGCCCUAUAUGCCUUUAAUACAUAAGUAUGCAAGGGAAACGCUUUAGUGCUUAAGGAUGGGUCUGUAUGGUAUCAGCUUGUUGGUGAGGUAAUGGCUCACCAAGGCUAUGACGCCUAACUGGUUUGAGAGGAUGAUCAGUCACACUGGAACUGAGACACGGUCCAGACUCCUACGGGAGGCAGCAGUGGGGAAUAUUGCACAAUGGACGAAAGUCUGAUGCAGCAACGCCGCGUGGAGGAUGACACAUUUCGGUGCGUAAACUCCUUUUAUAUAGGAAGAUAAUGACGGUACUAUAUGAAUAAGCACCGGCUAACUCCGUGCCAG